GACGAACGCUGGCGGCGUGCCUAAUACAUGCAAGUCGAGCGAAGUUUUUCUGGUGCUUGCACCGGAAAAACUUAGCGGCGAACGUGUGAGUAACACGUAAAGAACCUGUCUCAUAGACUGGGACAACUAUUGGAAACGAUAUCUAAUACCGGAUAAUAGCAUUAACUGCAUGGUUGAUGUUUAAAAGUUGGUUUUGCUAACACUAUGAUAUGGCUUUGCGGUGCAUUAGCUAGUUGGUGGGGUAAAGGCCUACCAAGGCGACGAUGCAUAGCCGACCUGAGAGGGUGAUCGGCCACACUGGGACUGAGACACGGCCCAGACUCUUACGGGAGGCAGCAGUAGGGAAUCUUCCGCAAUGGGCGAAAGCCUGACGGAGCAACGCCGCGUGAGUGAAGAAGGAUUUCGGUUCGUAAAGCUCUGUUGUUAGGGAAGAAUGAUUGUGUAGUAACUAUACACAGUAGAGACGGUACCUAACCAGAAAGCCACGGCUAACUACGUG
rnacentral:rRNA from 1 species